GACAGAGGGUGCAAACGUUGUUCGGAAUUACUGGGCGUAAAGCGCGUGUAGGCGGCUAAGUAAGUCGGGCGUGAAAUCCCACGGCUCAACCGUGGAAGUGCACUCGAAACUGCAUAGCUAGAGUCCUGGAGAGGAAGGUGGAAUGCUUGGUGUAGAGGUGAAAUUCGUAGAUAUCAAGCGGAACACCGGCGGCGAAGGCGGCCUUCUGGACAGUGACUGGACGCGUGA
rnacentral:rRNA from 1 species